UACGUAGGGUGCAAGCGUUAAUCGGAAUUACUGGGCGUAAAGCGUGCGCAGGCGGUUUUGUAAGACUGUCGUGAAAUCCCCGGGCUCAACCUGGGAAUGGCGAUGGUGACUGCAAGGCUAGAGUUUGGCAGAGGGGGGUAGAAUUCCACGUGUAGCAGUGAAAUGCGUAGAUAUGUGGAGGAACACCGAUGGCGAAGGCAGCCCCCUGGGCCAAAACUGACGCUCAUGCACGAAAGCGUGGGGAGCAAACAGG
rnacentral:rRNA from 1 species